rnacentral:rRNA from 1 species
GGACGGGUGAGUAAUGUCUGGGGAUCUGCCCGAUAGAGGGGGAUAACCACUGGAAACGGUGGCUAAUACCGCAUAACGUCGCAAGACCAAAGAGGGGGACCUUCGGGCCUCUCACUAUCGGAUGAACCCAGAUGGGAUUAGCUAGUAGGCGGGGUAAUGGCCCACCUAGGCGACGAUCCCUAGCUGGUCUGAGAGGAUGACCAGCCACACUGGAACUGAGACACGGUCCAGACUCCUACGGGAGGCAGCAGUGGGGAAUAUUGCACAAUGGGCGCAAGCCUGAUGCAGCCAUGCCGCGUGUAUGAAGAAGGCCUUCGGGUUGUAAAGUACUUUCAGCGGGGAGGAAGGCGGUGAGGUUAAUAACCUUACCGAUUGACGUUACCCGCAGAAGAAGCACCGGCUAACUCCGUGCCAGCAGCCGCGGUAAUACGGAGGGUGCAAGCGUUAAUCGGAAUUACUGGGCGUAAAGCGCACGCAGGCGGUCUGUUAAGUCAGAUGUGAAAUCCCCGGGCUUAACCUGGGAACUGCAUUUGAAACUGGCAGGCUUGAGUCUUGUAGAGGGGGGUAGAAUUCCAGGUGUAGCGGUGAAAUGCGUAGAGAUCUGGAGGAAUACCGGUGGC